AUUAAAAAAAUACUUUUUAAUCCACUUGUUAUAUUUUCAUUGGCCCAAUUUAAAAUCAAGUCCUAAACUAUCCACUCGUAACCCGUCCCAUUACCGACCCUCCCGUGAUACUAACCCUUCGUUUUAACCUAAACACAUCCGACCACAUUCACUUUAUCAAAACAUUUCUAACCCUACUAGCUAAGAGCGAAAAUGGUUGCCGAUUAAAGAGGGUGAUAAUCGGAUUCAAGUUUUGGAAUUUUUGCUUCGUUAUGCCUCUUUCAAUUGCAGGUCAUAAUAGGAAGGAUUGUUCCAACUAUCACACAUGGCGUGCAAAGAAAGGGUUGCCUGAACUAUCGAAAGCGUAAUAAUGGUGAAAGAUACAUAUACAAUGGUGAUAGCAAGUUGGUGGAAGUCGAAGCAAUUGGAAAUUUUAGAAAUUGUUAAGAGCCGACUUUAUUUGAAUUUGAACAAGACUUAUGUUGCGUCAUUUUUUGAUGGGAUUUGAUUUCUGUUUCUGUAUUAGAUAAGUUU